ensembl:lncRNA
CUCGAAGCGCGUCCGCGACCUGCAUGAGGCCACGUGACCGCCCCUUAGGGGUGAACACAGGAAGGCACCUCUGGACCAGCGUCCCCACCCUUCAUGGAGGAGGUGUCCCGGGUGGGCGAGGAGCAGCGCCCCCGCGCUCACUUCCCCCGCAGUAAGGCCACCUUGUAUCUGCUUUCCAGACGAGUUUUAGUGGCUGCACCAGUUUGUGUGGAAAGCAUAUCUGAUAUGAGGCCAGAAGACCCACCAGAGGUGUUCCAGGGAGGGCCCUGGGAUUACACUGAAGGCAUCAGGAUGCACUGAGGCCAGGUAGCAGUACAUGACCACCAGAAACCGGGAGGCUGCAAUGACUGUGAUGAGCAGCAAGAUGCGAGAAGAGACCAGCAAGGAAUUGUGGAGAUGGUCAUUAGAGUGUGGGCACCCAGUAGCGGUGCAGCUUAACAUCCACAACAAGCAAGAGUCCGAAGGGAUCUGAACUGCCUGGCCCUCCCACGGAACAUCACACUGGUCUCUUACACUGAUGAUGUCGUGCUGACCAGGGUUGCAGACCCCAGCCCAGAGGGGGAGUGCACUUUUGCCAGAUGCACAGCAAGUCCCAUGAACUACGAGGCAGAGGCCAGCGGGAAGCCUGGAGGCGCUGCUCCCUGGACCCGCGUGAAGAGAGAGAGCUAAAGUGCAAGGCUGGACUGUGACAGCCGUGGAAGCGCCUGCUGGGACCGCCGCCCCAGCUGCCACCCCUGUGGCCCCAUCACCAUGUUUGUGCUGAGGCUUCCUGCAGGCUGUUCCAGCUGCUGACCCAGCACAGCGGGGCCCUAACUGAAGCCCAUUCCACAGGGACAUCGGGACCCUCUGACAGACACCACGGCUCGGCCUCCCCACGGCCCCGGCUGGAGCUCUCUCAAGUCCGUGCUGCAGCCCGAGAGUCUGUCUGCCCAGUUCUUGCCCGUCUUCCUUCCCCAGUGGUCAGCCGUGCAUCAUGCCCUCCGCCUCAUCUCUCCUAAUCCAGCCUCAUCAUCUGCUUCUUUGAGGCUGUGAACUAACAGAGAUGCUCUUUGGAUUUAAAAGCUCUACCGCUGGACCAUUUCUCAAGGGGGCGAAGGUCUCUAAAGAAGUUUGAAAAUAUUAGAACAAAAUCGAUUUAGCUUUCUGGAAACUCAGUGUGCUGUCCUCAUUUUUCUUAUUUGCUACAGGGCCCUGAAAGAUCCAGUAUGGCCUGGGAAUAGUUUGAUGGCUGGCACUGAGAGCCACAGGCGUAAAAAUCGCCCCCCUCACCCGACCCCGGGCUCCCCUGGUCCCCCACAUGGACGUCCUCCUUAGGGUGACAUCCUCUGAGCCAGUCGAGCUCACACUGCGGUGGUUACUGGGUAGUUUCUCCAUCAGUGCUUUGUGAAGAGGGGUGGGGAGGGGUCUUACUCCAGUUUAAACGCCCUAACACAGCCAACACAGGUGGCGGGUGAAAGCCCACCAUGGGAGGGACGUCAUUCUCAUGCAGGAGAAGUGAUGGCUUCACGUGGGUUUGCAAACAGUCCCUUCAGAGACGGAGCUGAGAGGUGA